rnacentral:rRNA from 1 species
CGAACGGGUGAGUAACGCGUGAGGAACCUGCCUCAAAGAGGGGGACAACAGUUGGAAACGACUGCUAAUACCGCAUAAGCCUACGGGUCGGCAUCGACCUGAGGGAAAAGAAGCAAUCCGCUUUGAGAUGGCCUCGCGUCCGAUUAGCUAGUUGGUGAGGUAAUGGCCCACCAAGGCGACGAUCGGUAGCCGGACUGAGAGGUUGAACGGCCACAUUGGGACUGAGACACGGCACAG